UGCGUAGGCGGAUCAAUAAGUCAGUGGUGAAAUCUCUCGGCUCAACCGGGAAACUGCCAUUGAUACUGUUGAUCUUGAGUUCGGUUGAGGUAGGCGGAAUGUGUAAUGUAGCGGUGAAAUGCUUAGAUAUUACACAGAACACCAAUUGCGUAGGCAGCUUACUAGACCGACACUGACGCUGAGACACGAAAGCGUGGGGAGCGAACAGGAUUAGAUACCCUGGUAGUCC
rnacentral:rRNA from 1 species